rnacentral:rRNA from 1 species
AUUGAACGCUGGCGGCAGGCCUAACACAUGCAAGUCGAGCGAGCGGCGGGCGGGUGAGUAAUGUCUGGGAAACUGCCUGAUGGCUGGGGAUAACUACUGGAAACGGUAGCUAAUACCGCAUACCAUCCGCUGUGCCCAGAUGGGAUUAGCUAGUCGGUGGGGUAACGGCUCACCUAGGCGACGAUCCCUAGCUGGGCUGAGAGGAUGACCAGCCACACUGGGACUGAGACACGGUCCAGACUCCUACGGGAGGCAGCAGUGGGGAAUCUUGCACAAUGGGCGCAAGUCUGAUGCAGCAAUGCCGCGUGAGUGAAGAAGGCUUUCGGGUUGUAAAGCACUGUCAGCGGGGAGGCGUUACCCGAAGAAGAAGCACCGGCUAACUCCGUGCCAGCAGCCGCGGUAAUUC